GUAGGAGGCCUUGUGGGAGAGGACUUGGCGGCGUUCCGGCUGAGCGACCAGCGGGUGAUGUAUUUGGCGUAUUUCAGUGGAAUCACCGCCAUGGUGCUCUAUGGGCUCAACAUGCGCUGGAUCGACCCGGCCACUGGGUUGGGGGCCAGCUUCCUCAACGCUCCAUCUCCGACAGCCACAAGACAAGCAGUUCGCCCGUAGUGGUAGCAUGAUCAAGGAAGAAAAAUGUUAUUCCUACAUCGAUGCUCCAACAAAUAUGUACAUAGUCAGAUAAGACAGAUGCUUAGUGUUCAGAAAUUACUAGUCGCAGCUACCGUCUUCUCAAAAACAUAUUUCUGAAGUGCACCUUUUGUGUUAGUUACCAUGUUAGUCUUUUGUGGCGCAAAAGAUAUUCCUGGGAACUACUAGUAGCAUGUUUCAUUCCACGGAGCCUCAAGUUCGUGUCACAGCUGCUUACUGUUUUCUGCUUUGUGCACAUUGAUAUAUGUUGGAUACACCUGCUCUUUAAUAAGUUUUCUACCAUGUCACGAUAA